rnacentral:rRNA from 1 species
AUGGCAAGCCCGCACCACAUCGCGAUGGAGCUCGUCGGCCCCAAGCCCGGCGGAUCCUCCUCCGCGGUCGCCGUCCACCACAUGUUCGUUGUCGUGGUCGACGGCGUCGAGACGGACAUCCACGAGGGCACGCUCCAGGGCAGUCUCGGCAAGGUCACCGUCACCAGCCCCGGGAACCUCUCCGCCGACGGCCUCCGGAGCGUCGUCGUGCGCGGCGGGGGAGGGGGCGCCGUCGUGUUCACCCUGUGCGGCGACGCGGCCGCCGAGGGCGUGGGGUCCGCGUCCUUCGUCCAGUGCGGCGCGACGCGCGUCGACGGCGCGCGGGAGGUGUCGGUCUCGCGGUGCCGGUCCCUGGACGCGGAGCAGGCCGGCAAGGUGACGGUCGAGAGGUGCCGGGAGGCGCGGCUCCGAGGCGGCGGCCUCCUCCGCGCGACCCGCUGCAGGCGGGCCGACGUCGAGAGCUUCGGCGAGGUCCGCCUGGCGCGCUGCAAGGGAGUGCGCGCCGACUGGUGCGGCAGCCUGGAGGUCCAGAUGUGCAGGGCCGUCGACGCCAGCCGGUGCGGCGCCGUGAGCGGCGACCGGUGCCGCCGCGUGAACGUCGCCGGCUGCGGCAGCGUCGCCGUGACCCACGCCGUGGUCAAGACGGUGGAGGAAGAGCAGCUGCAGUCGCAGCAAACCGUGUCUCCGCAGUCCAGUGGAAGUGAGUAA